rnacentral:lncRNA from 1 species
AAAAAAAUAUAAAUAAAAAAUUAAAUAUAAGGCUAUGUCUAGAAUAGUUGGACAGUGCUGUGAUAGUUUCCCUAAAGAGUAGUAUAGUUGGAGACCGUGUCUCCCAGAAUUCCAUGCAAUGUUUUCUAAGCUUUACGUUAGGCCCAUGUAGAGAUACUUUUAGAAAAAAAUGUUUAUACCAGUAUGUAGUAUGUUCAGUGACAGGCAAUGAAAUGCCAUGGUCAUGUUUGCUGCAUAACUUCAUCCUUUGAUUUCUGGUUUGAGUUUCCGGUUCAUUUUUCUUUAACAUGUUCAGAGAUAUUUACUAAACUGGAAUCUUUGAAGAAUUUACCUGCAAAUUGUAAACCAAGAUAGCUGAAAUGAGAGCUAAAGAGUUUUCAAAUAGGAUUUCUGUGAUCUACCAUUUGCAGUUCCUUUGUCAAUUUUUCACAGUCCCCAGUUUGGUGGAAAAAAAAAUUAUCCUAAAAUAUCAUUUCUAUACAUAGGAAAAUAGUAUAUAUUCAGACACCAAUCACAUUCCUAUCUAGCCUAACUGAGUGAAAUUAUAAGCUAAAGAAACAUCAUACAGCCAAUGCCUUUUGUACAGUAUGCCAUCAUCACCAUCAUAAAAAAUGAAUAAAAAAAAUAAAAAAACAUUAACAAUGGUCCCCAAUGCUAGUGCUUCAUUAAGUAUUUUAGAAAUAUUGUUUGAGUACUACACGGCUCAAGACAAGGACCAUCAUUAGGAACCCAUGGCUUACUGCAGGGGUUGGCCAUCUUUGGCACUUCAGAUAUUGAGGACAAAUUCUUACAUAAUACUCUUACAGCCAUAAUGCUGGCAAAGCAUUAUGGGAGAUGUAGUCAACAACAUCUGGAGUGCCGAAAGUUGCCUAGCCCUGGUUUAGUGCAUAUAAACCCAAUGUAUAGCACUGUUUCUUUCACACCAAUGGGUAAGAAAGCGAGAAUAAGCCUACUGUAUACUAAUGUGUAUAUGUGUCAAUUGCCUCAAUUUUGCUAUUCGGACGUUUUGUUGGGUUUUGUGGAGAACUUUCAAGGACAUAUGUAUGGACAGUUAAUACGUCAGAUUUGACUACAUAUACUCUGUGUCCCUUGCAGUGUACAGCGCAUCUAUUGGAGUAACCGUUAUGUCUAUUAACUGGGUGUAGUACAUUUCAUUCAAAGUUAGGGAAUGACUAUUGCACAUAUUAAAAUGUGGUCAUGUUUACAGAAUUGCAAAGCAAACUUUCACGUGAGGAAAAAUGACGUAUCAUUUUUGGCAGGUAGAGUGACUUCCUUUUUAACCCCUUAAGGACCAAACUUCUGGAAUAAAAGGGAAUCAUGACAUGCCACACAUGUCAUGUGUCCUUAAGGGGUUAAUGGUUCUUUUAUAUUUUUUUGUAGUGCUUAUAACUUCUGCAAUUGUAAGCAAAAAAAGUCCAAAGUUUAGCAAUACAAUAUCAUCACUAUUAGCACAUGAGAAGUUUAAUGUCUAUUUUUGAGUGGGGUUCCAGAUUUCAGCUCAUAGAAAUCAAAAUCCUUUAGUUUCUUGACUUUUGUAACCCCCUGCAAAAGUUGGACUUUUAACUUUUGAAAUGUUGUAGGAGUUAGCAGGAGCCCUACAUUAAACAUUCCACUAACAGGGUUAUUUACUAAAAGUGUGAUUUUUCAAUUACACAAAGUGGAAUCAAAGGGAAAUGUCCAAGUCUAGGCCAAAUUAGCUGCACUGCAAACACUGAUAACAUGGAGAAUUCUUCAAUUUCAGCUGUUUGGCCUUAAAUUUGAAAUUUACUCUCAAUUCACUUUGGAGUUCCAACAAUCUACACCUUAGCUUAGUAAAUAUUCCUGAAUGUCACUGUGUGGUUAAUUACCGUUUAUCCAAAAUUGAUAGCUUUCCCUAAUUUUUUUAUGUGUUGUUAAGUUAAUAAGAUUUCAAAUGCACUAUGUUAAAAAUGAUUAGUAUUAACACCUUCAUUGCCAGGGAUGAGCAACAUACGUGCAAAUGAGCAUUGGGCACCCCUCUGGCAUUUCUAAUUUCUUGUCCUAAAUGUUUCUUACCAACGUCGUUGUUCUGUUUUGAUUUUUAGCUUUUUAAUUGUUUUAUAUCCAAAGCAUUAACCAAGUAGCUUAAGUGUUUAGUAUCCAUAGCUUUUGGGAGGGGGGCUCGUGGCUAAAGCACUUGAAGGGUUAAUCACACUUGAAUCCUGUUUUACUGUCUGUGUAGUUUUUCAGCAUUAUAUUCAAGCAGUUUACUAAGCUAUUCAAAAUAUCUGAGGACUGAUAUUAACCGAGCCUUUUCAGCAUAAACGAUUUCAUAAACAAAACUAUGUGGCUGGAUUCUUAUUGAUGAUAUAAUCGCUGUAUGGAAAGUGAUUGCUAAGAAAAUGUACUUUGACACUGAUACAUUAUUAAAAUAUACUGAUCCUUCUC